rnacentral:tRNA from 1 species
AUUUAAAUAGUUUAAAAAAAAUAAUGAUUUGUGGAAUCAUAGAUAUUAAAAUAAUUUUAAAUA